rnacentral:rRNA from 1 species
UACGUAGGUCCCGAGCGUUGUCCGGAUUUAUUGGGCGUAAAGCGAGCGCAGGUGGUUUAUUAAGUCUGGUGUAAAAGGCAGUGGCUCAACCAUUGUAUGCAUUGGAAACUGGGAGACUUGAGUGCAGAUGAGGAGAGUGGAACUCCAUGUGUAGCGGUGAAAUGCGUAGAUAUAUGGAAGAACACCAGUGGCGAAAGCGGCUCUCUGGUCUGUAACUGACGCUGAGGUUCGAAAGCGUGGGUAGCAAACAGG